rnacentral:misc_RNA from 1 species
GAAAGGUAUUGACCCCAAUCUGUAGGUUGAAGGAUUUUUUGUAUCUAGUACGUUGAAUAUGCUUGGUCAAUAUGGGUUUUAUCAAGGAAAAAGUAUUUAAAUUUGGCUAACUCGGUUACUUCAAGAAUUGCUAUGUAGUAAGGUUGGGUUUUUGUCAAAGCCUAUGGUUUAAAAUGCCAACUUUGGGAAGGAAAAUUUUUGAAAUUGCUUUAGAGGGGUUUUUAUGGAAAAAUUCAUGAAAUUUUUUAAAUUACUACAACGGGGUUUUUAUGAAAAAAUUCAUUCUCUAUAGUCAAUAUGUCUUGAAAAUGAGAUUUCAAAGAAUAUUUAGAAACUAUUUUUGUAAGUUUUGUCUAAGACAAAACGAUUGAGAGUUGUUUGAAAAAAUAUUUUGAGAAAGUGUUUUUUGAAAAGAACUUUCUCCUUUCUCCAAUGAUGUGGAAAUAGGUUUAGAAGGUAUACUUUUUUGGUUUUGUAGAGUCUGCACCUGUGAGAAGAAGUUCUAGAGAUUUGGAUAGUGAUUUAACCUACCACAUACAAAAAAAUUUUCACCCUGCAGAUUGGGGUCAAGACUUUUCAAAAUCCAAUACUUUUCCUGCCAGUUUCAAAACUAAAUUAAAUCACUGCUCAUCCUUCAAUUACUGGGAUUAUCAACAAGCUUGGUUUAAUACUUUUCUCAUGAAAAAUCAUAAGCAUAACCAUUCUUAGUUGUUCUAUUUCAAAACUAAUAUCGAUCCUACAAAAAUCUCUUCCUGGUUUGUUCAAUGUUGAAAUUACUUUGGGACUAUUUCAGACCU